rnacentral:rRNA from 1 species
GAUGAACGCUAGCUACAGGCUUAACACAUGCAAGUCGAGGGGUAACAAGAGGAAAGCUUGCUUUUCUUGUUGACGACCGGCGCACGGGUGAGUAACGCGUAUCCAACCUGCCUAUAACUAGGGAAUAGCCUUGCGAAAGUAAGACUAAUACCCUAUGAUUUCCUUUGAUGACAUCAGAUUAGGAAUAAAGAUUUAUCGGUUAUAAAUGGGGAUGCGUCUGAUUAGCUUGUUGGCGGGGUAACGGCCCACCAAGGCAACGAUCAGUAGGGGUUCUGAGAGGAAGGUCCCCCACAUUGGAACUGAGACACGGUCCAAACUCCUACGGGAGGCAGCAGUGAGGAAUAUUGGUCAAUGGGCGGAAGCCUGAACCAGCCAAGUAGCAUGCAGGAUGACGGCCCUAUGGGUUGUAAACUGCUUUUAUACAGGAAUAAAGUUAGCCACGUGUGGUUAUUUGUAGGUACUGUAUGAAUAAGGACCGGCUAAUUCCGUGCCAGCCGCCGCCGUAA